GGGUGGCUCAGUGGGUUAAAGCCUCUGCCUUCGGCUCGGGUCAUGAUCUCAGGGUCCUGGGAUCGAGCCCCGCAUCGGGCUCUCUGCUCUGCGGGGAGCCUACUUCCCUCUCUCUCUCUGCCUGCCUCUCUGCCUACUUGUGAUCUCUGUCAAAUAAAUAAAUAACUCUUAAAAAAAAAAAAAAGAAUCUGCAUCUUUAACAAGUUCCCAGGUGACCCUUCUGCUGCUGCUGGUUGGGACCCACACUUUGAGAACUAGUGGUCUAGUGGUCAAGGAAGGUCUUUGAAAUCACAGAUACAUCUUUAACUAGUCUGUUAUUUGUCAUCUUCUCUGGAGCUAAGAUUUUCCAUCUGUGAGAUGGGGUUCGUGACAACCCGGUCAGGUUAUAGGGAGUCGGUCCAAGUUUCUUGAACACGUAGUAGGGAUUCAGGAAAUAUCCAUUUCUUUCUUCCUCUCCUUUCUUCUGUUCUCGCUCCCUGCCUUCCCCUCUGAAAAGGCGCUGACUCUGAAUCGCCUUUCUUCGUGAGGCUGCUUGGGAAUUCCACAGCAUUGGACAACAAGGGAUGUGUCUCCCCCCAUAUGGUGCUUGUCAUGGAACUCAAACAAAUCAGCCUGGGAAGACCGUCCUCACCAAAUUUGCCAGGCUCCCCGCUGAGCGGAGAGCCCGACGCGGGGCUCGAUCUCAGGACCCUGAGAUCAUGACCUGAGCCGAAGGCAGAGGCCCCAACCCACUGAGCCACCCAAGCGCCCCAGUAUGACAGAUUUAAAGGAUGCACAGCACACGAUUUACAAAUGAUCAACUCCACUGUACUCCUCAUUGUAAAGCCCACAUAGCUGAUUGAUUGCCACUGGAUGCUUUUAUUGAUUUGUGUCCGUAGCCAACCUAUGGUUGCUGCUGACCAGCAAGUAUAGUUUUGACAUGAAUCCAAAAUUGGUUGGUUGAUACUUUCCUGUAUGUUUCCUAGUAAGAUGAAACUGACACAACCAAAGACAGAUUUAGGGAUGUUUGUCCAUGAUAUGAGCGACUCCCUUGCUGAACUGGUUAAUAACAUUGAAUAAUAGAAGAAUUUUUCCUUAAUUUUUUGUGAGAUUAUGACUGCAGACACAACAUACAUUUAAUUUUAAUUUGCAUUAUAUUAUUAUUUGUGUGUUCUCCAUCAUUUUCUUUUAAAAAAAUUGUGUUUUUUUUAAGGGGAGCCCAGCAUGAGACUUCAACUCACAACCCUGAGGUCAAGACCUGAGCUAAGCUCAAGAAUUGGACACUUGGGGCACCUGGGUGGCUCAGUGGGUGAAAACCUCCA
rnacentral:lncRNA from 1 species